GGCGGACGAGGAGAAGCUGCCGCCCGGCUGGGAGAAGCGCAUGAGCCGCAGCUCAGAGUAAACACUCAGGAAGCGUUACCCAUUGCUGCCAUUCCCAGAGAUGCAAAAGGUGAGAACACCGAGGCCCAGGGAAGGUAGAUCACAUUUGAACCCAGAUUCAGAUUUGAAUCCAGGUGGCCUGGCUGCAGAGUGCAUGGCCGAGUGUACUACUUCAACCACAUCACUAACGCCAGCCAGUGGGAGCGGCCCAGCGGCAACAGCAGCAGUGGUGGCAAAAACGGGCAGGGGGAGCCCGCCAGGGUCCGCUGUUCGCACCUGCUGGUGAAGCACAGCCAGUCAAGGCGGCCCUCGUCCUGGCGGCAGGAGAAGAUCACCCGGACCAAGGAGGAGGCCCUGGAACUGAUCAACGGCUACAUCCAGAAGAUCAAGUCGGGAGAGGAGGACUUUGAGUCUCUGGCCUCACAGUUCAGCGACUGCAGCUCAGCCAAGGCCAGGGGAGACCUGGGUGCCUUCAGCAGAGGUCAGAUGCAGAAGCCAUUUGAAGAUGCCUCGUUUGCGCUGCGGACGGGGGAGAUGAGCGGGCCCGUGUUCACGGAUUCCGGCAUCCACAUCAUCCUCCGCACUGAGUGAGGGUGGGGAGCCCAGGCCUGGCCUCGGGGCAGGGCAGGGUGGCUAGGCCGGCCAGCUCCCCCUUGCCCGCCAGCC
rnacentral:sRNA from 1 species